rnacentral:rRNA from 1 species
UGAACGCUGGCGGCAUGCCUAACACAUGCAAGUCGAACGCGAAAUCACCUUCGGGUGAGAGUAGAGUGGCGGACGGGUGAGUAACGCGUGGGAAUCUACCUAGUAGUGGGGGAUAACUCGGGGAAACUCGAGCUAAUACCGCAUACGCCCUACGGGGGAAAGGCUUCGGCCGCUAUCGGAUGAGCCCGCGUCAGAUUAGCUUGUUGGUAGGGUAAUGGCCUACCAAGGCGACGAUCUGUAGCUGGUCUGAGAGGACGAACAGCCACACUGGGACUGAGACACGGCCCAGACUCCUACGGGAGGCAGCAGUGGGGAAUAUUGGACAAUGGGCGAAAGCCUGAUCCAGCAAUGCCGCGUGUGUGAAGAAGGCCUGCGGGUUGUAAAGCACUUUCAGUUGGGAAGAUGAUGACGUUACCAACAGAAGAAGCACCGGCUAACUCC